UGACCAAAACCUUCGCAUGGUCCCGUCCUACAAAUAGAGACCAACUGGUUCCCCAAUUAUCAGUGAGAGAACAGAGGAAACCAGAGAAAGAAAUGAGCAAGAGACAGAACUCUAGCGCCUUCGGAGAGUCCUCCCGCCAGGCUGUCUCUGCUUCUCCGGGUGUGAGUGGGAAGAGGCUGCCGAGCCCCGAGGGGAAGAACCUAUCCGCACUCACACAGCGCCGCAGUCUCAGCCGGAGGGUCUUCAGCUUUUCUCCCAGGGAGUUCACGUGCUGUUUGAUGUCUGGGUCCUCGUUCUCAGCCUGGGGCAUCACCUCCUCCAAAUAAAACUGGAUCAUCUCGGACAAGGCUUGGCAACCCAGCAAAGGAAGCAGACCCAGCUCCCGGCCUCCCUUCUCUGAGUCACGCUGCAAGCUCGCCUCCCACACACCCCCUGGGCCCUCACCUUAAAGUCCUCCAGCAAGGACCUAGUCAACAAUAUGCUGUGCAGCUCGUCCUUGGUUUGCUGCAAGAACAAAAGGAGAGUGAGCCCGAGGUUUGAGGAAAUAACUGAAAUAAAUGUCUUUCUGAUGCCCUCUUA